UCCAGUCCCUAACCCCCAGCCACUACUGGCAUGAGGGGUCCCUCAGGGCCCCCAGGCCUCCUCUACGUCCCACACCUCCUCCUCUGCCUGCUCUGCCUCCUCCCACCGCCGCUCCAAUAGCAGCCGGGCAGAGCCAGAUGCCCAAAGACCAGCCCCUGUGGGCACUUCUGGAGCAGUACUGCCACACCAUCAUGACCCUCACCAACCUCUCAGUCCCUACUCCUACUGCAACACGACCUUGGACCAGAUCGGAACGUGCUGGCCCCGCAGCGCUGCCGGAGCCCUCGUGGAGA
rnacentral:lncRNA from 1 species